UUCCAAGUAAAGAUACUCCAAAGAGACCACCGUAUCUUGCUCUUCAAUGACACUGAGAAGACGAAUGCGUUGAUUUCAAGUACCCCAAUACAUGUAAUACAAUACUGUAGAAUUUGAAGUGUGGUGAAUGAUAAUACUAUACCACGCACAUUUUCAUUACCGCAUCAUCACACCAUUCAUUACAUUUGGGAGACUGUGAAAUUACAGUAAUUGUGUCACUGAUUAUAAGGUUAA